AGGUUGGAGCGCGGUGCCCCCGACAACUGGGAAGGACCAGUGCGAACUGUCUGCACCCUGCCGGGUCCAGAGGCGUGUGGAUUCCCCGAGGCCGGUCCCGAGCGCCCCAGGCCCAAUGCACGUGGGCGGGGUGGGGGCGCCGGGACCCAGACCCAGUUCCACGUCCGGGGCUGGGCACUGCGCCAGGGGCCGCGGAGAGCUACGGCGCUCACAAGGCGCAGUUGGGUGCACCCACUCGCGGGGUUCCCCUCGCGGAGCCACCCUGGAGAGCAUUUAAGUGCGCACCCACCUUGACUCUCGUCCACUGCCACUGACACGGAAACUCCUACACAAACAGCACACACAUUCGCGCCCACACUCAGUUUUACAAACACGCUUCCACACGCGCGCACACACAAACACGCACACGCGUACACUUGCCCUCACAGAUAUACCCGUGUACACGGUCAUAACAAGCACAUUUACACACACGCAAUGGCACACACAUAUCGUUGUACAACCAAAUACACUAAAAAACCCCCCCCAAAACAUGAAACAUCCCCCUGUGCAUUAAAUCCUCACGCUCACGUACACAUACAAACCCAUAUCCUCCCCCACUCCCUCUUUCACACCCAGAACCACCCCCCCACAGCGCUUGUGAUUUGCUGCACCCUCAGUCCCAAAUCAUAAUCGGCGCCCGCGCGUCACGGGUUGGACACACACACUCGCGCGCACGCAAGCACUCUCCUCCCUGCACAGGCGGGGGAGGCUUCGGCCCGGCGCCCGCUUCGGAUUCCAGGUGUGGCGAAGGCUCCGCGCUCCGUGUUUUGCAGUCUGCCGCGGUGUCGGAGGCGAGGCGAGGAAGGGAGCUGGAAUAACAAAGCUCUCAGAAGCCAGAAAGGGGCUUCUGAGGUCAUCGAAGCGAGAACCCCUAGGCCUCAUUCUUCUCAGGAGGUGACUCUCUCUCCUUGCAUCCUUCUGGGAAUGCUUGCUCCCUCACAUGGCAGACACUGCUCAGUGAUGUGCUGCUAUCUGUGUACUCGGCUUAUCGCUCUGCCAGACUGAGAGGCAGCGGGCUUGCUGAAGGAGCAUGGACUUUGGAGCUGCACGACCGGGCCCUGAAUCCCAGCCUUGCCGCUUAUGGCUGUGAGCCCUAGCGAAGCUCCUACCGCCGUGGGGAGCCUCCGCUUCCCUAUCUGUAAAGUGGGGCUGGUCAUAACUCCUUCCAAGAUGAUCUGACCGUUAAAUGGGAUUAGAAAUGUAACUCCCCUUUCCUGUUCCUGUCUGGGACUCUCAUCUCUGGGGGACAGAGAUUGUGUCCGGUGCUGUGUGUCCUCCUGGUUAGGACAGCAGUAUAAAUAUUAACAACAAUGGUAAACACAUAUAGCAAUGUGACUACAUGCAGGGUAUUGUUCUAAGAACUUAGGCGUGCUAACUCAUUUCAUUCUCACAACAACCUUGUGGCAUUGGAACUAUUCCUCCCACUGAUAGAUGAACAGUCUGAAGCACAGAAAGGUUAGAUGACAAGCCCAAGGUCACACAGUGAGUGGGAGAGCUGAGAUUUGAAUCUAGGAAAAUCGGCUCCAGGGCCUUAGCUGUGGAACACUCUAUUAAAUGGCCAUGGUUGAAGGGCUUAGAGAGGCUUAGGGAGCCGUUGGGGGCCGGGGGGGCUGUCCAUGGAGUACCCCGGUCUGUUGACAUUCUUGUCCUGUCCUGUGGGGUCACGGUGGACAGAGAAGCUCCUGGUCUGUCCUCUAGGACCUCUGGGCAGGUAAAGUGGUUAGUGCCGAAGAGAGGCUUGUCUCUAGGUCCCUAGGGGCAGAAGCCUGAGAGGCCACUAAUGGAUUAGGCAAUUAGGCAAUCAGAGAAGGCUUCGUGGAAGAAGUGGCAUUUGCAGUGGGCCUUGACUGAUGAAGAUCUGGGUGGGGAGGGACAAGGCAGAACAGUAGGAGCAAAAGUGCAGAGGUGGAAGAGGUAUAUUAGGAAUUCACUUAGGUGUCAAUCUAGACAUUCUCCUGUGUUCCGGUUGGUAGGUAGAGCAGAUAAGGUGAAUAUAGGGAAGGGUGUGUUAGUCGUCCAGUCUGUGAUUCAGAAAAAGCUGAGGGAACUGUUUCAGGGGCUCUGAAAGCCAGGACAGACCCUGAAGAACUGAGAGCCAGUUGGGCUGCCCUAGGGGCCAGAUUGGCAUUUUGCUUCUUUAUAAGCUACUCUGAGUACUCAGAGUCCUGGGUUCCUGAAUCCAGCUCUGCCUCUUGGUUAUAUCCCUCUGUUUCUCAGAGCCUUAGUUUCCCCAUAGGCAGAAUGGGCAUGAAGAGUGGACUUGGGGGGCCAGUAGAAGGAGGCAACAGGGCUGCUGGUGGGGCCCUGCCCGACACUCCUGGGGUAGGAAGUAGGU